GUAGGGAGGCAGCCAGUGUCUGGGAGGAGCCACAGAAAGAAAAAAAAAAAAAACAUCAGGGACAACAGGCUCUUUUUUAAAAUGUCACUCAAUUAUCCAAACGCACUAUGGCAGUUUGUGGCCCACAGUUCUGAGGGAAGUAGAGACGGUGCUGAGUGACAUGAAGAGGGCAAUGAUGGCUAGGCAGAUUGACACAGACACAGGAGGAGGAAAGGCAAUGGUGUUCCCUUCACUACCAUGCCACACAAACCUACGAGGCCAUACCCGAUGUUAUUUAUGUUUUAUCUUCAACUAUGUGUUGGGAUGGUCUGCUCGCCUACACGGGCAUGAGUGGAUGCCUGAGGUUGAUAUUGGUGUGUCUUCCUCAAAUGCUUCUCACACCUUGAUUUUUGAGACAGGGUCCCUCACUGAGCCUGAAGCAACUGGCUGACCAGUGAGCCCCCAGGAUCUCUGUCCCCCUAAGCUGGCAACCUAGGUACUUGCUACUGUGCCUGGAUUUUACGUGGAUUUCAGGGAUCCGGACUCAGGACGCCAGGCUCUCUUGCUAAGCCAUCUUUCUAGCCCUGUAUAUAACUUCUGUUUUAACCUGAGAAAAUGUUAUUCGAAUCCCUGCUAAAACGCUUCACCUUCUACCUCAGAGCUGGAAACCAGGGAGAUCUAGAUCUUGGGAGAGGAAUUCUCAGUACCGGUUCUAAUUUCACAACCAUUUGGGUAACCUUGACCUUUGACCUUUGCGAAUUUGGAUGGAAUGGCCAUUUUUUCUUCCUGGCGAUGGUCCCUCUGCUACUUGAUUUUGGCCGCCUCCAGCUGCGGAUAUCUAGGGACAAAGAAAGCUGAGUGCUGUGCUGGCUGGGAUGACCUUGGGUAAAAUUCGUGUUGAAGGAAGCCAGACGCUACCUAGAUGUAGGUUUGCAUCAGUGUCAUAAAACACCUGAGGCAGGCAACUUUACAAGCACCUAUGGUUUAUUUAGGUUAUUUAGAGUUGGGAAAGUCUAAGGACCAGUUUCUUGUGAUGUAUGGCCUUCAUGGUGAUCAAGUCUCAAAGUCGAGCAUAUAUCUCACUGCGAGGAGGCAGGGCACAAGCAGUGGACAUGGGAAGCUGGAUGACAAGCCAUCCCACAGGGCAGGGGAACCCUAAGUGGAGUCCCCGCCCCCCUCAUUUGUAAUACACUCUGUAUAUUAUGUGCUAUGUGGAAAUAAUGUAUACUUGACAUAUUUAUGCCUCUGAAAUAUAUGAAUAAACAAGGAUCCAUCCACACAUAUAUAAAAC